rnacentral:rRNA from 1 species
GUUAAGCGACUAAGCGUACACGGUGGAUGCCCUGGCAGUCAGAGGCGAUGAAGGACGUGCUAAUCUGCGAUAAGCGUCGGUAAGGUGAUAUGAACCGUUAUAACCGGCGAUUUCCGAAUGGGGAAACCCAGUGUGAUUCGUCACACUAUCAUUAACUGAAUCCAUAGGUUAAUGAGGCGAACCGGGGGAACUGAAACAUCUAAGUACCCCGAGGAAAAGAAAUCAACCGAGAUUCCCCCAGUAGCGGCGAGCGAACGGGGAGGAGCCCAGAGCCUGAAUCAGUGUGUGUGUUAGUGGAAGCGUCUGGAAAGGCGCGCGAUACAGGGUGACAGCCCCGUACACAAAAAUGCACAUGCUGUGAGCUCGAUGAGUAGGGCGGGACACGUGGUAUCCUGUCUGAAUAUGGGGGGACCAUCCUCCAAGGCUAAAUACUCCUGACUGACCGAUAGUGAACCAGUACCGUGAGGGAAAGGCGAAAAGAACCCCGGCGAGGGGAGUGAAAAAGAACCUGAAACCGUGUACGUACAAGCAGUGGGAGCCUCUUUAUGGGGUGACUGCGUACCUUUUGUAUAAUGGGUCAGCGACUUAUAUUCUGUAGCAAGGUUAACCGAAUAGGGGAGCCGAAGGGAAACCGAGUCUUAACUGGGCGUUAAGUUGCAGGGUAUAGACCCGAAACCCGGUGAUCUAGCCAUGGGCAGGUUGAAGGUUGGGUAACACUAACUGGAGGACCGAACCGACUAAUGUUGAAAAAUUAGCGGAUGACUUGUGGCUGGGGGUGAAAGGCCAAUCAAACCGGGAGAUAGCUGGUUCUCCCCGAAAGCUAUUUAGGUAGCGCCUCGUGAAUUCAUCUCCGGGGGUAGAGCACUGUUUCGGCAAGGGGGUCAUCCCGACUUACCAACCCGAUGCAAACUGCGAAUACCGGAGAAUGUUAUCACGGGAGACACACGGCGGGUGCUAACGUCCGUCGUGAAGAGGGAAACAACCCAGACCGCCAGCUAAGGUCCCAAAGUCAUGGUUAAGUGGGAAACGAUGUGGGAAGGCCCAGACAGCCAGGAUGUUGGCUUAGAAGCAGCCAUCAUUUAAAGAAAGCGUAAUAGCUCACUGGUCGAGUCGGCCUGCGCGGAAGAUGUAACGGGGCUAAACCAUGCACCGAAGCUGCGGCAGCGACGCUUAUGCGUUGUUGGGUAGGGGAGCGUUCUGUAAGCCUGUGAAGGUGUGCUGUGAGGCAUGCUGGAG